rnacentral:lncRNA from 1 species
AGGCACACCACCCAAACCAGGACCAGCACCUGAGGUUCCAAUGGGGUAUCCAGGCUUGGAUCCAGGACCACCUUUUCCACCAGGAAGGCCUGCUCCACCACCACCACCAAAGCCUCCAUAUCCUGAAACAAGUGGAGAGAACCAUCUACUGUACCGUACUGCUUGUACUACACACACAUGUACAAUUACACAUACAUGCAGACACACUACUUAAAACAUUUACAUAUUAAAAACGUUCUGUACCAAAUGGAAGUUUGCCUCCAGCUCCUCCAACUUUUGCUCCAUAGCCACCUGUAGAAACCAUG